CAUUUCCAUAAAAAGAUACAAUGACUUUUCAGAUUUGUCCAUAUUUAACCGACUUAUCGUAUAACGAAGAAUUCGCGUCGAACUUUGUAUACGCUCUUUCAUGAGAGUUAAAUCACUUAAAUCGAAACACGCAGUUUUUAUGAAUUUAUUCAUAAAACGCCACACACGUAAGGGAUCGAAAACAUGGACUAGGUUUCGCUGUAUAUACUGUGUAUUUGGUGCCCACUUACUCGGUAUUUUAAAUUUAAACGAUAAAUUUGAACGUCCCGUUAUUCUUGCGAAAUCACCUCGACGAAGACUACGCUUUCUGUUCGUUUUUUCAACUUGUUUAUAUCCUCGGACAAGGAUGAGUGGGAAAGCUUCCGGAAAAAAUAAGCAGACCGCAAGCUCGUUAUCGCUCCAAAAUCGCGAUAAUUACACUAUUAGAUAUUGUAUACAUGUACGCGGUUCGAUAAGCAGCGUUCCUGAUAAAGUUUCUCGUAGCUUGUAAACACAGAUCCAAACCUAACAAAUAAAUCCCAGCCAGUAGAAGUAAAAUAUUUAUUGUGUUAUUCCUUAAUAACAUUACCAUGUAAAUAAUCGUAACAUUAGUCUUACGGUCUAUAUUAAUGAUCGUAUUGAAUCCAGUUACACCUAGUACUGAGCAAUUAAUUAUAAAGAGUCUAUGUUACAGCGGCAUGUAUCUCUAUGUAUAGUUCUCAGUCGACGUGUCGUACCAGUCAAAUGAGUUGUAUAAAAACUUAUCUCCUUGUUUUUUUUUUACCCGGCAACAUUCGUCCAGCCAAGCUACAAAACGUAAAUGCUACCCGCAAGUUUCGCAUCACACGCAAAAUACAUGGAAUCCGUUUUAAACAGCUUCGGGACCUACUUCGACCGCAAAGUAUUUCCAUUCGUCAUCAUUGAUUCUACUUAGGUUGCCCUAAACCUUGUGGUAUAACUCGGAAGGAAGUGAUUUCUUUUUUUUUUUUUAAAAAAGCAUAAACAUUUCUGGAUGAAAAAGCUGAUCUUAAAAAUACGUUUCCUUUGCAGUUCAAAGAAAAAAUAAUGCGUUUUCGGAAAAUAAUUUGCGGUUCGGAUAAACGUGUCGUUUCUAGUCGUGUAAAAAAUUAUGUACAAAACAAUCUGCUUGUUUGUCUCGGUGUCAGGCACGCAUGGAUACCUUAUACUCUUUAAGCAUUAUUAUUAACUACUAUACUCUUUUCAUUCCAAUUCGAUUUUCUUAGCAGCUUGGAGUAAUACGGAGGUAACCAUGCGUUCGCAUUCGACUGACAAGUAUCUCUAUUUUUUGCUUUUUCUAUUUUAUUCAGAAACAGGAAUUCCUCGAAUUUGUAUCGUAAAGCGACUUUGCGUUAUCAAAACCUGAUAUAGUCGAUGAAUAAUAAUAUAUAUAUUUAUAUA